CCCACCUCGGCAGCGCAGCCGUUGUCAUUGAGAUAAGAAUGGAAAUUUCACAAUGACUGCCGUUUGGGGAUUCCAGCCUCCUGUUCUCUCCCAGACGCCUGCCUUGCCUGUUCAAAUAUCUUUUGGUUUGCCUGCCUGCCUGGUGGGAGAUUCUGCUAGUUAAACUUGGUGCAGGCAUGAGAGUCACGAAGCACAGGAAAUUCUGGUGUUUGUUUUUAUAGUUCGUCUGACACUAUAAAACUGCCUAAGUAAAUGGGGACGUGGUUGCAAAUAACUCAUUACGGAAGAUGUUAAAGUCUGGAUUAAAUGAAACCCUGUUGGAAAAACUGCACAAUGACCAGCAACGGACCGGCGUAAACCAGCAUCAAAACAGUUUUUCAAGAGCCUCACAACCAGCCCGACACAGCAACUUUGGCUAAACCAAUGGUGGGAGAUUGGGGCGGGGUUAUUUGUCUGACCCACCAAUGGACGACAGGAAAAAUACUCAGGAAAACUUUUUAAAAAUGGCUCAAGUGGCACAGAAAUUACUCACUUCAGCUUUAACAAAAGAGCUCAUACAUAAAGAAAAGCAGCACUAAAUUAAAUCGCAAAGCUUUUUAAAGCUCUAUUUAUACCCCUCGGCAACAGAAUCUUUGCAGCUUAUUAGAAUGGCGGCCUAUUAUGAUUUAGGAGCCUUUUCAAACAUGUCAAAAGAGUCAGCUGGUGCUGCUACAACACCUAAAAGAUCCAAAUCUAAAUCCUUUGUGAAUUGAUUCAGCUCUUUUGAAUAUUUAAUGUUAAUGUAAUGGCUUGGUGUAACAAACCAGACCCAAAUCUCAAUUUACCCUGUCAAGCCAUCAUUGAUUUAAUUUCAGGAUUUAUAGAAACAUUCUCCUUUCCUGGAGGCAAGGAUAAACGACAUCGGUGUAAAGAGCAGGCGAAGCGCACUGUGAGAUUUUCUUUCUCCUUUUUACAUUUCAAAGCAUCUAACUAUCUCAUUUGAAUUAUUUACUCGGGCACGUGAUGGAGAGCCCAGCAGAAGGGUAUUGAUUGGACUGAUUUAGGACCUGCUGCUUGGCUAAAUGCAAUUCUCUGCUGCGCUGAUGCGAGUGUGGGAGGUCUGGCCAUCUCUGAGUCCAUCGUAAAAAAAAGGCAUCAAUCAAUCAGUAUGUAAUAAGGUAUGGGUGUGAAAACCUGCUCUGGUUAUUUAGCUAAACACAGGCAGCUAAAUGGCUAUGGCGGUAUAGUCAUUUGCUAUCCAAUAAAUGCACAAAAACAAAAGGAUUGUACAGUUUUAGGCUCCGUUCCAAAACCUAGUUAGCAGUAGGCAGAUGGCUUUUAAGCAACCUAACUAAAAUGAAAUGACCAAUUUGCAACGCUCACAAAAUUGAUUUCACUAGUUUGGUGUUAGCAUUUUGCUAAGCUAAUAUUAUUGUAAUAAGCAUAAAAUGCACCACACACAAAUAAUAGUACAUUUUUAAAUUGAUUAAACUAUUUAGUAUCGAAUGUAAUGCAUUUACAGUUCACCCUAAUGCAUUCUCAGAUUGCGUACGCCCCAAAGCAUACAAUGCCACCUUAAAUAAUUAUGUUAGCAUAAUUAUGCUAACUGCCUACUGGAAUGGCACAAUGUCUUAAAAUGUUGCAGGAACACAGUUUUAAAACACCAUAUGUCUCUCAUAUUCGAAAAUAUAGCUCGCAGUUCUUUAAGGGCACUUUGGGAAAACAAUUCUAUAGUUACCAAAUCUCAGUUUGCACUAAGGGGGACGGGAGUGAUGAUUAAGAGAAUAGCCAGAGCGGGUCAAAGGAUCAUCUGUCCCUCUCCCUUCUCAGGCCAAUGUGCACAGAUCAAUACAUAAUAUCUUACAAAUUGAAUUCGACCUGGAUCGACCCAAAGAGGCGGGAGCCUUGCUCUGCGAUUUGUAGACAGCUUCACUGCAAACCCUGAUGAUCAGCAAGGAAUGGAGUGCAUAUGUGCGUGUACGUGUUUGCGUUUUGGGAUGUAUAAAUAGGUUUGUGACAUAUGGACAGUGUGAGUAAUGGAAAAAGAGAGGGAAGUACGGCAUCAAAGGCACACAUUAACAAAUACUCUUGAUUAUUCACAUAUAAGCGUAUAAGCUGCGCUGCUGUGCUAGAGAGUUCCUGUUUCUGACUUCCUCUUUUACCAUCAUAAACAUAUAAACAUGCCUUUUUUAAGGCUAGUUCAUACUGCUUUACCAAACACCAUCAGGGUUAAAAGGGCUAGUUCGCUUAAAAAUGAACCCAGUUAUCGUUUACUUGCUCUCAAAAGCUAACAAAAAACCAUUUUAAUUGCAUUCUAAAAUGAUUCACAUGACCCAUGUGCAAAUUUUCCAUGUCUUUUAAAGCCAUGCGAUUGCUUUGUGUGAGAAACAUAGUGAAACUUGCAAUUAAAGGACCAUUGUCAGUAGUGUA